CCGCUCUGCAGACAAACUUGGCUGAAUUGACUUGCCCGGGCAUCAUCUUCAACUUCAUCAUCCGAAUGUUGUCCCUUUUGAAUGAGAAAUAUUUGAGCUUUCAAAGGACUGUGUUUUCAAGCUUCUCUCUGCACCCAUGAGAGACAGGCUCUGGAGUGCUGAGAGUCUUCACUAGCUGCUAAUCACUACUAUUAAUUUUCACCAAACUGGGUUGAUUGUUUUUCCAUGAUACAAAGGCACAAUAUGACCCCUCUGGAGGUGUGUUUUUUAUAGUCAACUGUACUCUCUGCUUAAAGCACCCUGAGUGAAUCUGAAGGAGAAAAUGCUGCAUGGGAUUGCUCUUUCCCCUCCUCCCCGACCCCUCCCUCAGUCUAUGGAGAAAUACCUGUGAAUAGUGAAGAGUGGCUGGGAGGUGGAAUGAAGGCACAUAUUGUGUUGUUGCCUUUCUCUCCCAAGCAAGGCACUCACAACCCUUUCCCACAUGAUUUGAGGUUGUCCAGCUCUCCUCUGGACAGUUUCUGUGGCUUCCAGAAACUCCCACUGUGGAACUUAGGAACUGACAUGCUAGUUCAGACCAAUGCUCCAUCUAGUUCAAUAUCCUGUGUUCAACAGUUGCCAGUAACAGCUGACUCAAUGGAAACAGCAAGAAAUCUUGAAGUGGGCAAUUAUGGAAUGACUAUGCCAUAAAGCCUUUCAGUGCUAACUUACUACCCCUUAUAGUUUUGUCAGAAAAACAAGAAUCGGAGACUUUUCCUAUGGGUUCUCCAGGGUGUUUAGUGCUGUCUAGACUGUAUAGGCCUUGGGGCUGAAAUCUGCAAGCACCCAAGCACUCUUGAUGUUUAAUAUUAAAUAAUACCUUCUUCAAAGCAAUCACAGUGUCUCAGCUCCUGUUUGCGUACUAUGGGCACUUGUACACAUGACGCCGAGAUGAUGUGCAAGUGAUGAAAAUUUUCCUUUGUGUAGCUUAUUGGCAUCACACUUUACAGGCAAGCCCUGCUUAACACUCUUGAUUGGUGAUGGGAAAACUGAGCGUUAAGCGGAACCGUGCUAAGCGAAACCCAUUUCCCCAUAGGGUUUAAUGUAAAUAGAAAUAAUUGGUUACUGCUGCUUCUUGCUGUAGCUUCUCACCAUCACCAGUGCCUCUCCCCACCCCUCCACUUGCUUGCUGGCCACUCUGGCCCCAUGUGCCAGUCCACGCCCCGCACUCCUGCCAGCUCCUCCAGCCGCUCUGGAACCAUGUGCAAGCCCAGGCCCCCUGCUCCUGCUGUCCUGCCCUGGACCCAAGGUUCCCUCUAAGGUGCGCGCGUGUGCAGCCAUGCACAAGUAAAAGGCUGGCCACGCACAAACUUAGGCCACACAUCCACCUGGAUAGGAUGGUGACAUGAUGGUAAGUUCCUCCGAGAGGUGAGGCGAAGGCAGAAGCAGGGGUGGGAGCCUGGCGCGAGCUCUGCCAGGUCCAGGAAACUGCUCCA